UACAUGUCAGUGACAAAGGCA
rnacentral:miRNA from 2 species